AGAUUCCUCCAACUUCAUGGGAACAGGAAGGUUAACAUCCCUGGGGAGGGGACCUGCAGUGGGGACUCUGGGGAAGCCCCUCAGAGCUUGGGGGAUGGGCAGAGAGAUGCCAGCUCUGUGCAUGUGUGCGUCUCUGCCUGUGUAUAUAAGAGAUUGUUCUACCUGACCUGGAGAGGGAGGGUGUGUGUGUGUGUCUCUGCCUGUGUAUAUAAGGGAUCGCUCUACCUGGCCUGGAGGGUGUGUGUGU
rnacentral:lncRNA from 1 species